rnacentral:rRNA from 1 species
AGUGGCGGACGGGUGAGUAACGCGUAAGAAUCUAACUUCAGGACGGGGACAACAGUGGGAAACGACUGCUAAUACCCGAUGUGCCGCGAGGUGAAACCUAAUUGGCCUGAAGAAGAGCUUGCGUCUGAUUAGCUAGUUGGUGGGGUAAGAGCCUACCAAGGCGACGAUCAGUAGCUGGUCUGAGAGGAUGAGCAGCCACACUGGGACUGAGACACGGCCCAGACUCCUACGGGAGGCAGCAGUGGGGAAUUUUCCGCAAUGGGCGAAAGCCUGACGGAGCAACGCCGCGUGAGGGAGGAAGGUCUUUGGAUUGUAAACCUCUUUUCUCAAGGAAGAAGUUCUGACGGUACUUGAGGAAUCAGCCUCGGCUAACUCCGUGCCAGCAGCCGCGGUAAUACGGGGGAGGCAAGCGUUAUCCGGAAUUAUUGGGCGUAAAGCGUCCGCAGGUGGUCAGCCAAGUCUGCCGUCAAAUCAGGUUGCUUAACGACCUAAAGGCGGUGGAAACUGGCAGACUAGAGAGCAGUAGGGGUAGCAGGAAUUCCCAGUGUAGCGGUGAAAUGCGUAGAGAUUGGGAAGAACAUCGGUGGCGAAAGCGUGCUACCGGGCUGUAUCUGACACUCAGGGACGAAAGCUAGGGGAGCGAAAGGGAUUAGAUACCCCUGUAGUCCUAGCCGUAAACGAUGGAUACUAGGCGUGGCUU